rnacentral:misc_RNA from 1 species
CAGCUGUCACUCGCUUUUUACAAUUAGACCCGUUUGGUUGUUGUUCGUGCGGCGCUCGCGUUUUUGAGGUGCAUUGGAAUUGUUGGGAACUGGUCGGUUUUAUUAAUUGUUUAUAAUUAUAUUUCGUAUGUACAUGGUAUGAUAACAAAAAAAAAUACAUGAUUAAAUAUUUAACCUCAUAGAAGAGCCUUUUUCGUAGCAAAGGCGAUUGUAAAACGCGAGAGUGUGAAGUGUUAUGAUGGUGAAAAAGCUUGCAAAAUAAAGGGAAAACCCAAAUAAUAAAAGCAAAAGUAGCGCAUUACACAAAUUAACAAAGCUGCAUAUAUAAUACUUAAAAAUUUAAAAGUGUUUUUAGAAAGGCAUCAAUUGCAUACACAUUUCGCUCCAUCAAACAAGAUCGUGAAAAAGAUAGUUGGAAUAAGCGUACAAUUGGAAGUUACACGAUGUGGAGUCCAACGCAUAUACAAGUGACAGUUCAACGUGCGAAAGGUCUGCUGACAAAAGGCAAAAAUGGCACCAACAAUUGUUUCGUCACGAUUUCGCUGGGUAAAGAGAAAUACCAGACAUCAGUUAAAGACAAAGCGGAAACAAAUGUCAGCUGGAAUGAAGAAUGUGAACUCAAAAUUCCUGAUCAAGGCAACCGUGCUGAAUUGACAUUGACUUGCCUACAUCGCAAUAAUCUCGGCAUCGAUGAAUUUCUCGGUCAGGCCACAUUGCCACUGAAUGAAAUGGACGUUUACGACCGUCCACGUUCUAAAUGGUUCAAACUAGAGAGUAAACCUGGCAAAGAGAAAAAGAAUAAAGAGCGCGGUGAGCUGGAAGUUCGUAUUUCCUUCGUAGUCAAAUCUGGCUCACUGACUGAUCUGAGCAAAAAAGAAAAGCACAAGUCUUCCAUUGGCCAGCUGGCUUCUUCCGUGGGUGGCAGUCUGCUUUCGAUUGGCACAAUAGAAAAACGCAAAGGUAUUAAGAAGUUCGCCAAAUCGAUUGGCUCGAAAAUGCAUUUGAGCAGCAAGAAGAAGAAUAAGGAUGGCGAUGAUGUAUCGAAUUUCAGCGGCUCAUUCGCGAGCAUCGGCACGCCGAACAGUUCGAAUGGCGGUAGUCAUCGUUAUGGUCAGCGUGCCGGUGAGGCUGAUCCUGGUGUCAUUAGUGAGGAUGAAGAUGAAUUCGUUUUUGACAAUUUGUCACACAAGAGCUCGGCGAGUUCAUUGAACAUACGUUCAAAUCUACAAGUGCCUACACAAAAUUUCGCACCACGUAAUCCCUCACCGCUGCUGGGCAAAGUCGGAGAGAAAAGUGAAGAUAAUCGUUCCACGCCAAGUCCCAAAGCCAACGAACGCAUUAUUAUUGGCCACGAAAAGUCCACAUCACAUGCUGAACGGCGCUCGGAAAUAUCAGCAGCGCUCGCCAAGAAAUACGAGGGCAAAUCGCGAGAGGAGCUUAUGCUAAUAGCUAAUGGCAUGGAAAAUGAAGCGUUACUCCAACGUCAACGUGUGAAAGAGCUAGAAGAUUAUCUGGACAAUUUAUUGCUGCGUGUGAUGGAAACUCACCCGAAACUCUUACAAAAUCCUUACUCGCGCACUACAUCGGCUAAGAGUUUUAAAAACUACAUCAAUAUGAAUGACUUUUUGUAAAGAACCGAAUUUUGUGAAGCGCGAUGAAUUCCCAACCGAUUGGCUGUUUGCAUGUCAAAGCCAGCACAACGGCUGAACAACUUUAAGGAACAUCUUUUAAUUUUAAGCAAAUUUCAUGCGCGGCUGACCGGUAAUUCCAAGCGCCUUCCAGCUAAAGCGACAACAACACAAGCAUAUACAAAAUCAAAAAUCAUAAAAGUAAAUAAAAAGAGCGGAAUUAUCACCAAGUUGCCUUAGAGUGAAAAAUCCAAAGUGCUUUUUAUGCAAUGCGUAUUUAAUUAUGAAAGCUAAAAAAAUAUAUGUGUACAAGUUUAACAUAAUUUUUUGAAUCGAUGUCACUUUACUAGUUAGAAAUGAUGUUGUAUCUGCUAACACAGUUAAAUUAUUGUAAUAUAUUUUUUAAGUAAAGAAACAAAAAAAAA